AGAGUUUGAUCCUGGCUCAGGACGAACGCUGGCGGCGUGCCUAAUGCAUGCAAGUCGAGCGGGCUACGAUCUUCGGAUUGUAGCUUAGCGGCGAACGGGUGAGUAACACGUAGGUAAUCUACCCUUCAGAGGAGGACAACCUCCGGGAACUGAGGCUAAACCUUCAUACGUUCACUGGUAGGGAUACUGGUGAAGGAAGAGUUACCCUAGUGGUAGCUGCUGAAGGAUGAGCCUGCGGCCCAUCUGGUAGUUGGUGAGGUAACGGCUCACCAAGCCGAAGACGGGUAACCGGUCUGAGAGGAUGUCCGGUCACACUUGGACUGAAACACGGCCCAGACUCCUACGGGAGGCAGCAGCAGGGAAUCUUGGGCGGUGGGCGAAAGCCUGACCCAGCGACGCCGCGUGGAGGAAGAAGUCCUUCGGGGUUUAAACUCCUGGACUUGGGUACGAGAAGGGACGGUACCCCAGUAGAAAGGGACGGCUAACUACGUGCCAGCAGCCGCGGUUAAACGUAGGUCCCGAGCGUUGUUCGGAUUCACUGGGUGUUAAGGGCGCGUAGGUGGUUGUCUGUGUCGCGUGUGAAAACUCAGGGCUCAACUCUGAGAUGGCGUGGGAAACUAGGCAGCUAGAGGACGGUAGAGGGAAGUGGAAUUCCCGGUGUAGCGGUUAAAUGCGUAGAUAUCUGGAUGAACACCGGUGGCGGAGGCGGCUCUCUGGGCCGAUCUUGACGCUGAGGCGCGAAAGCUAGGGGAGCGAACCGGAUUAGAUACCCGGGUAGUC
rnacentral:rRNA from 1 species